UAAUAAAAUAAUAAUAAUAAAAAAAAGAAGAAGAAGAGAGAGAAAAUAAUUAAAAAAAAUGUGGAACCCACUGAAAUUUUUUAUAAAAACUCACUGUUCCUUCAUUUCUUCAUUCCUUCUUUCGUGCAUGAGCUUCGACAGAGAGAGCAUCUGUGAGCCAAAUUCACCGGUGCUGGGUUUUAAGAUUGUAUUACUGGUGAAGAUUGUGGUGAGAGAGAAAUUUUAAGGAAUAAUUUAUUGAAAAAGCCACAAGGAGAAGAGCCAAGAGUGACACGUGGAGGAGUCCCAGAGGCUUAGUGGUAUAGAUCCACUGUCUCUUUUGGGUAUUUAAUUUAUGAUUUAUAAUGUGUUAUAUUGCCAAUAUUAGGACUUUUUUAUGUUUAUUGUCAAUUAUAUGAAUAUAUAAAUGUAAUCAUGCCUUUCAAACUA